AGGGCACAGUAGAGAGUACAGCACACUGAAUGGCGGUUGGCAGACCUGUAUUUCACUGGCUCACUGUCCGUAAAUACUGGUCACAUUUGCAAGCACGAGCAUGCUUCUGGUUUUAGCCAUUGGAGCCGUGCCAAUUUACGCUUGUCUGGGGUACACAAAGUACUUGAUCUUGGGUGCUUUGCAAAGCGCGAAUCGCUUGCAAGCGAUGUACAGCGAUUCGCCUUACAGCAGUGCGCUAACUUUCAGACGCUUGCAAGCGAAACAAUCGCUGGCUGUGGUCACUUCGUUCUCAAACCAAAAUGGCGUCUGACUUUGACAGCGAAACAAGAAAUUCUUGACUGUAUCAACGAGGAAAUGAUUAAAGGGACAACAGCAUUCCAGGAGCUACACACGGAAAUGUUAGGUGUAUUGAGGAAUACACCAAAUACACCAGGGGCUGUGAAUGAUGCAAACGUAAGUGCAGAAACUG